ACGAACGCUGGCGGCGUGCCUAAUACAUGCAAGUAGAACGCUGAAGAGAGGAGCUUGCUCUUCUUGGAUGAGUUGCGAACGGGUGAGUAACGCGUAGGUAACCUGCCUUGUAGCGGGGGAUAACUAUUGGAAACGAUAGCUAAUACCGCAUAACAAUGGAUGACACAUGUCAUUUAUUUGAAAGGGGCAAUUGCUCCACUACAAGAUGGACCUGCGUUGUAUUAGCUAGUAGGUGAGGUAAUGGCUCACCUAGGCGACGAUACAUAGCCGACCUGAGAGGGUGAUCGGCCACACUGGGACUGAGACACGGCCCAGACUCCUACGGGAGGCAGCAGUAGGGAAUCUUCGGCAAUGGGGGCAACCCUGACCGAGCAACGCCGCGUGAGUGAAGAAGGUUUUCGGAUCGUAAAGCUCUGUUGUAAGUCAAGAACGGGUGUGAGAGUGGAAAGUUCACACUGUGACGGUAGCUUACCAGAAAGGGACGGCUAACUACGUGCCAGCAGCCGCGGUAAUACGUAGGUCCCGAGCGUUGUCCGGAUUUAUUGGGCGUAAAGCGAGCGCAGGCGGUUUGAUAAGUCUGAAGUUAAAGGCUGUGGCUCAACCAUAGUUCGCUUUGGAAACUGUCAAACUUGAGUGCAGAAGGGGAGAGUGGAAUUCCAUGUGUAGCGGUGAAAUGCGUAGAUAUAUGAAGGAACACCGGUGGCGAAAGCGGCUCUCUGGUCUGUAACUGACGCUGAGGCUCGAAAGCGUGGGGAGCGAACAGGAUUAGAUACCCUGGUAGUCCACGCCGUAAACGAUGAGUGCUAGGUGUUGGAUCCUUUCCGGGAUUCAGUGCCGCAGCUAACGCAUUAAGCACUCCGCCUGGGGAGUACGACCGCAAGGUUGAAACUCAAAGGAAUUGACGGGGGCCCGCACAAGCGGUGGAGCAUGUGGUUUAAUUCGAAGCAACGCGAAGAACCUUACCAGGUCUUGACAUCCCGAUGCUAUUUCUAGAGAUAGAAAGUUACUUCGGUACAUCGGUGACAGGUGGUGCAUGGUUGUCGUCAGCUCGUGUCGUGAGAUGUUGGGUUAAGUCCCGCAACGAGCGCAACCCCUAUUGUUAGUUGCCAUCAUUCAGUUGGGCACUCUAGCGAGACUGCCGGUAAUAAACCGGAGGAAGGUGGGGAUGACGUCAAAUCAUCAUGCCCCUUAUGACCUGGGCUACACACGUGCUACAAUGGUUGGUACAACGAGUUGCGAGUCGGUGACGGCGAGCUAAUCUCUUAAAGCCAAUCUCAGUUCGGAUUGUAGGCUGCAACUCGCCUACAUGAAGUCGGAAUCGCUAGUAAUCGCGGAUCAGCACGCCGCGGUGAAUACGUUCCCGGGCCUUGUACACACCGCCCGUCACACCACGAGAGUUUGUAACACCCGAAGUCGGUGAGGUAACCUUUUGGAGCCAGCCGCCUAAGGUGGGACAGAUGAUUGGGGUG
rnacentral:rRNA from 1 species